CACCAUGAUGAAAACCUGGAGUCCCCGAAGCAGAUUGAGCAGAAAAAGAUGACCCGAAAGACCGAACAGUGGUGUCUGGAU